rnacentral:rRNA from 1 species
CCUACGGGUGGCAGCAGUCGAGAAUCAUUCACAAUGGGGGAAACCCUGAUGGGGCGACGCCGCGUGAGUGAAGAAGUAUCUCGGUAUGUAAAGCUCUAUCAGCAGGGAAGAAGAAAUGACGGUACCUGAGUAAGAAGCCCCGGCUAACUACGUGCCAGCAGCCGCGGUAAUACGUAGGGGGCAAGCGUUAUCCGGAAUUACUGGGUGUAAAGGGAGCGUAGACGGUGAUGUAAGUCUGGAGUGAAAGGCGGGGGCCCAACCCCCGGACUGCUCUGGAAACUAUGUGACUGGAGUGCAGGAGAGGUGAGCGGAAUUCCUAGUGUAGCGGUGAAAUGCUUAGAUAUCACGAAGAACUCCGAUUGCGAAGGCAGCCUACUAAACUGCCACUGACAUUGAUGCUCGAAAGUGUGGGUAUCAAACAGGAUUAGAUACCCGGGUAGUC